CAUUUCUUUUGGCAAGGAGCAGAAGGCAACAUAAAGCAGCUGCGAGAAUUAAUUCAUGGAGAUAGUUGACAUUUUCGAGCUGACUGCCUCUUAGAGAAAAUGAUGUCAUUCUCCAGCAGCCUAAUGACAGUCAUCAGCCUGAGAGGACACAUGCUAAUAAGACCAUCACCAGCAAAGAAUUUUCUGAGCAAAUGUGUACUGGACACCUUCUGAGGAAUCCACUAGAGCCUGCACAUCCCCUUUUCCUAGCAAGGUCAACUGGAAAACAGAAAUUCAGCAAGGUUAAGUGACUUGCCCAAAAUCAGAGCUGAAACUCUAGUUCUCUUCCUCCAAAUCCAGUGUUCUUUCCAAGAUAACGUGCAACUUUCCUUUGGAAUGAUCAGCAGAAUGUCAAAUAAGGAAAGGACAUGUAGAGUUCAUGGGAGGAGACAUUACUUCUGGCUGCAGAAUUAUGGAGGCUUUAUGGGAGACGCCGUAUAUUUUAUCUGUGCGCCUUGAUCACGUGUCUGACCAUGGACAGAGAAACCAGCCUAAUGAGCCUUUUUUACAGGUCUUACUGCCUAUUAGAGCGAAGGAAGAGGAAAUCUUUGGCUAACUGGUCAGAGAAAACAACUGGAUUAAACAAGAUACUCUUCAUGACUGUGGUUGCAAAAAUGCAACACAACUUUUAAAAAUCUUAGUACUAAAUUUUAAAAAUGGCUUUUAAUUUGGGGGAGACUCAAUAACAGAACCCGAAAAUCUGAUAAAUUAUAUGAACAUUUUAUUCAGAAAAAUAAACAUAUAUUACCAGAAAAUUUCAUAUAUGAUUCAAGAAGUCCACAGAAGUUCCAUGUUGUAAGUAAUUAGAAAAUAAGAAUUCUGAAUUGUUAAAAUAAAAUUUAAUGUUCAACAUCGUUCAUCCAGGAAGUGGAAU